rnacentral:rRNA from 1 species
AGAGUUUGAUCAUGGCUCAGGACGAACGCUGGCGGCGUGCUUAACACAUGCAAGUCGAACGAAGAGCGAUGGAAGCUUGCUUCUAUCAAUCUUAGUGGCGAACGGGUGAGUAACGCGUAAUCAACCUGCCCUUCAGAGGGGGACAACAGUUGGGAACGACUGCUAAUACCGCAUACGAUCCAAUCUCGGCAUCGAGGAUGGGUGAAAGGUGGCCUCUAUUUAUAAGCUAUCACUGAAGGAGGGGAUUGCGUCUGAUUAGCUAGUUGGAGGGGUAACGGCCCACCAAGGCAAUGAUCAGUAGCCGGUCUGAGAGGAUGAACGGCCACAUUGGGACUGAGACACGGCCCAGACUCCUACGGGAGGCAGCAGUGGGGAAUCUUCCGCAAUGGACGAAAGUCUGACGGAGCAACGCCGCGUGAGUGAUGACGGCCUUCGGGUUGUAAAGCUCUGUUAAUCGGGACGAAAGGUCCUCUUGCGAAUAGUUAGAGGAAUUGACGGUACCGGAAUAGAAAGCCACGGCUAACUACGUGCCAGCAGCCGCGGUAAUACGUAGGUGGCAAGCGUUGUCCGGAAUUAUUGGGCGUAAAGCGCGCGCAGGCGGAUCAGUCAGUCUGUCUUAAAAGUUCGGGGCUUAACCCCGUGAUGGGAUGGAAACUGCUGAUCCAGAGUAUCGGAGAGGAAAGUGGAAUUCCUAGUGUAGCGGUGAAAUGCGUAGAUAUUAGGAAGAACACCAGUGGCGAAGGCGACUUUCUGGACGAAAACUGACGCUGAGGCGCGAAAGCCAGGGGAGCGAACGGGAUUAGAUACCCCGGUAGUCC